rnacentral:ncRNA from 1 species
UUGCGUAGCGCAUGUUUGACGACCACGCUGCCGAAGGAGAGGCCCUUGAGGCGGGCGGUGCGGAUAUAUUGCUGCGUCAUCACCUCGACCAUCGAGGCGCGUGUCAUGCGCGCAAUGUAGCCGGUGCCGUAGAUCGCCAGUGUCAUCACCGGCAGCGUGAAAUUAUAGAAGGUAAGGCCCUGG